CUUAGAGCUGAAUUCAGGUCCGAUCGGAAAUGGAGGCAAAGGUUCUUUACUGGCUGCCCUGGGUGGCAUUCACACGGGUGGCAGAGCACUUUCAGGUUGAUCAGGCUCCCUGAGUGAAGACAUGGCCACAUGUGGUGUGUCCCUGGUGCUUCUGCCAAAAGCGUUCAGUAGAGAAGGACCGGAGCCCAUGCUUGGACAGGAAACCCAGCAGGCAGGACAUUGCUCUACUGGCCAAAGUAGGUAGAGGCUGCUACUUCUUGAGGAAGGCGAAGGGCAACCCAUGAGAAGCCCCAGUGUUUGGCCUGGACAGUUUCAAAGAGCCCAGGCCGUGGGGAUGCCAGAUGUCCUUCAUGGGCACUAGGACAGUGGGCUUCACCCUCCCAAACCCUGUGGGCUUCUGGUGCAGUUGCUCCCCUCCAGGACAAAUUGCCAUCAGAGAUGCCACUGCAUGGUGGAGAAACCUCUACCGAGGAUACUUCCUAGAGGGGCUGUCAGAGGCAGGGUGUCGUCUUCACUGAGAGGCCACACUGACCCACAGGAGAUGGGGGACACUGAUGCUGGAAAGGAGGAUGUAUUUGCAUGGCUGCCGUUUGGCAGUCAUGGGUGUGCCUUAGCAGGGACGCUUAACCAAGAGAAGAUGGCUCUUGUCGCCGGCCUGAAUGUUGCCAUGCAGAGCUUGGCCUGGAGGCCUGGUGGUGUGCCCACAGACCAGUCCUAGGAUAGAGGCUUCACCAGCCUAAAUUCCCUUGACUUCUCAGCAUGAUUUUCUCUGUGUCCUCAAGCAAGAGGCCAAGCCCAGCAUCCAACCUACCACCCGUUGCUGGCCCAGACCAGGAACAAGCCUGUCCAAAGAGCUCCAUUACCCCAGGACACAUGCAUAGUGUUUGACCAGCCGAGAAGCCCUUGUGCCCGGCCUCCUGCUGAGUGGAGAACCAGUGAUGCUCUGCCUUUUCUGUGGAGGCCGAUACUGACUCGUCAUGGCUUCAUUCCUUCACACAUUCUGUAGGGACUCAUUCAUUCACUCAUCCAACCCCAUCCGCUCAUCAUUUAUCUCUGUGAGAACUGAGGGAGGGAGGGAAGAGGGGAAAGAAAUCAUCCCCAGAGGACGAUGGGAAUCAUCCCCUGGGGUCAUGGAAGUCCAUUUUUGUCCAGCACCUGGAAGAGGCAGAAAGUCUCUCACAGCCUUUUGGAUCUCCACCUGUCCAGAAAGCGCCUCAGUGAGACGCCCUGGCAGGGCUUUGGCCAUAACCUGGAAGACUGGAGGUGAGUGGGUCUCUUUGGACCUAGGUUCCUGGCCCCAGCGCACGUUGGAUGAUGGGGGUCAUUUGCAUCCAAUCAGGAAAUAAGGAGGAGCCCAUUCGGGAAACUCGGUAUCCAUGGAAGGGUGAAUUCUCCUGCAGUGGCAGCCCUACAGAUAGGAUCUUUGGCCCCAAAUAGUUUUCCUUUAGAGCUGAAUUCGAAUGUGACUGGAAAUGGAGGCAACGGUUUCUUAUUGGCCGCCCUGGGGCCCUUUCACACAGGUCCUUGCACACAUUCAGACCCAGCAGCCUUACUGAGGGGAGGCACAGCACCAGCUGGUGUGUGCCUGAUGCAUCUACCAAGAGCUUUGGGUACGGAGGGCCCAGGGCCCGGGCAUGGAUAGGGAACUCUGCAGGCAGAACGUGAUUUGCGGUCCUCAGCUGGUAGAGGCUGCUACCUCUUGAGGGAGCUGAAGGGCAACCCCUGAGCAGCCUCCAGGUUUUGCCUGGACAUUUUCAGGGACCCCGUGCUCUGGGGGUGCCAGCUGUUCCUGAUGGGCCCUUGGAUGUGUUUAGCUUCACCCGACCAGGCCCCUUGUUUCUUGUGGAGUUCCUCCCUUCCAGGAGACACUGCCUUCAGAGAUGCCACCCUCCAGAGGAGUCACCUCUUCUAAGGAUACUUUCACAGAGAGGCCGUCUGCAAAACCUCAGAACCAUGGUAUGGUUUUCAUUGAGAGACCAUUUUGACCAGCAGGAGAGGCAGGACCCCGUGAUGCAGGCCAAGGAGAAUACACUUGCAUGGCUGCUGUGUGGCAGUCAUGGUUGUGCCUUGGCCAGGGACACUGAACCAAGAAAGGUGGCUCUUUUCCCUGGCUUGAAAGUUUUUAUACAGGGUUUGGCCUAGAGGCCAGGUUGUGAGCCACCAGCCCAUCUUAAGAUACAGGCUUUGCCGAGCCUAAAUUCCCUUGACCUAUUGGCGCGAUUUUGUCUUUGUCCUUAGGCAAGAGGCCAAGGCCAAUGUCUCACCUGCCACCCACUGCUGGCCAUGACUUCAGUGGAGCCCAUCCAAAGAGCUCCAUUCCCCCAGGACACGCGCAUAGUGACUGACCAGCCGAGUUCCCCUUCUGCCUGGCCUCCUGCUGGGUGAAGAAUCAGUGACGCUCUGUGGAGUCCCAUACUCACUCAUCACAGCUUCAUCCCUGGACACAUUCUGCAGUGCAUUUACCCACUCAUUCGACCCCUUAUUCAUUCAGAGGAGAAACCCCUUUUUUGGGUACUUUGAGGAAGGUUGUUGAGAACUUCAUGAUAACAUCUCCAUGGAAAGAAUAAUUUGGCCCCGUGGGAGAGGGGUGACCCCAUGAUAUGGGCAAGGAGUCAAAACUAGAACAAGUUACUGUUUUUUCAAGUGAAUACAUUACAUUCAGGGAAGAAAAGUGAGCAGCUACCACGAAGGACUGGAAUCAGGUCUUCCACUUCAGAGGAUAGGGGUGAGUAGCUCUUUGAUAUUCUUCUAUCAUAUGCUCUGUGCCAGGUCCUGAGGUCUCUGUGCUGGUCG